rnacentral:pre_miRNA from 1 species
GGUACUUGGGGAGUGGUUAUCCCUGUCCUGUUCGUUUUAUUCAUGUCGAAUCGUACAGGGUCAUCCACUUUUUCAGUAUC